AUUGAACGCUGGCGGCAGGCCUAACACAUGCAAGUCGAAGGGUAACAGGAAACAGCUUGCUGUUUCGCUGACGAGUGGCGGACGGGUGAGUAAUGUCUGGGAAACUGCCUGAUGGAGGGGGAUAACUACUGGAAACGGUAGCUAAUACCGCAUAACGUCGCAAGACCAAAGAGGGGGACCUUCGGGCCUCUUGCCAUCGGAUGUGCCCAGAUGGGAUUAGCUAGUAGGUGGGGUAACGGCUCACCUAGGCGACGAUCCCUAGCUGGUCUGAGCGGAUGACCAGCCACACUGGAACUGAGACACGGUCCAGACUCCUACGGGAGGCAGCAGUGGGGAAUAUUGCACAAUGGGCGCAAGCCUGAUGCAGCCAUGUCGCGUGUAUGAAGAAGGCCUUCGGGUUGUAGAGUACUUUCAGCGGGGAGGAAGGGAGUAAAGUUAAUACCUUUGCUCAUUGACGUUACCCGCAGAAGAAGCACCGGCUAACUCCGUGCCAGCCGCCGCCGUAA
rnacentral:rRNA from 1 species